rnacentral:rRNA from 1 species
CAGUCGCCGCGGUAAUACAGAGGGUGCGAGCGUUAAUCGGAUUUACUGGGCGUAAAGCGUGCGUAGGCGGCUUCUUAAGUCGGAUGUGAAAUCCCUGAGCUUAACUUAGGAAUUGCAUUCAAUACUGGGAAGCUAGAGUAUGGGAGAGGAUGGUAGAAUUCCAGGUGUAGCGGUGAAAUGCGUAGAGAUCUGGAGGAAUACCGAUGGCGAAGGCAGCCAUCUGGCCUAAUACUGACGCUGAGGUACGAAAGCAUGGGGAGCAAACAGGAUUAGAUACCACGGUAGUCCCUGUCUCUUAUAC